rnacentral:rRNA from 1 species
GAUGAACGCUGGCGGCGUGCCUAAUACAUGCAAGUCGAGCGAACGGACGAGAAUCUUGCUUCUCUGAUGUUAGCGGCGGACGGGUGAGUAACACGUGGAUAAUCUACCUAUAAUACUGGGAUAACUUCGGGAAACCGUAGCUAAUACCGGAUAAUAUUUUGAACCGCAUGGUUCAAAAGUGAAAGACGGUCUUGCUGUCACUUAUAGAUGGUUCCGCGCUGCAUUGGAUAGUUGGUAAGGUAACGGCUUACCAGGGCAACGAUGCGUUGCCGAGGUGAGAGGGUGAUAGGCCACACUGGAACGUGGACGCGGACCUUGCGCCUGCGGGACGGAGCAGUAGGGAACGUGCCGCAGUGGGGGAAAGCCUUACGCAGCGAGGGCGCGUGAGAUAUGAAGGUCUUCGGAGCGUAAAACUCUGUUAUGAGUGAAGAACAUAUGUGUAAGGAGCUGUACACAGCUUGACGGUAAUGAAUCAGAAAGCCACGGCUAACUACGUG